GGACUCAACGGGGAAUAUAUCUAAACAUUGUAAUUUGAAUUCACACAAAACUGAACUGUUGUCACCAGGAUAAAUAGCAAUUGAAUUAUGACAAGAAGUAUAUUUUUCUGUAUUUUAUGUGCAUAUGUUAUGCUUAAUUUGUUUGUAACCGAAGUAUCUGGUGACGAAUGCUGCAAGGAAUACACGGUUCUCAGUGGUAUUAAAUUCGAUGCCAAGUGGUGUCCCCGCUACUGCUGUUAUGAUACCCUUUAUCAAGACUACACGUGCUGUGAGGAUGAAUCGAAAAGAGCUUUAUCUGAUCAUCGAGAAGAAUUCUGCAGCAAGUGGUGGGCAACACAUGUUAAUGGUUUAACAUCAACGACAAUAUCUCACCGAUCCAUGACUGAUAUGACAAUAAAUGGUACCAUUGUCACAUUCGUACGUGCAACAUCGGAUACGUCUCCUUUCUGGAUCAUUUUACCCUUACCUGAUUUCUCAAUCCUUCGAGAUUUUGAAUAAGGAUAUGUAUUUUGCAACUCUGAAAUAUGAUUAGUAUUAUAAAUAUAUUUUGCUAAUUUGGAACAUACGUUUGUUGAAAUAUUUCUGUAAUAAUAACUUGUGUGGAUAAAGGAAGAUGUUGACACUAUGCCAAUGAGAUAGCUACCUCGACAAGACCAACAAUCAUCAUCAACAUUGGGAAAUCAGUAACGUCCUUGUGUGUUUUUUUUGUACACAUAUAAUCACUUAAUUUCAGAGUGAUCGUGGUUUUCUUGUCGAGCAUGCGACCAAAGACGCGGGAGCGAGACAUAGUGGUCUUACAUUCCGUCGUUGUCGUCAAAUGUAGGUUCAGUCUGUGCACGUGGUUAAAGUUUUUUUUUAACCAUUAUUAAAGUUUUUCCCCCAAA